rnacentral:rRNA from 1 species
AUGUUCCACUUGAUAACAAAAAAAUUGUGGAAGCUAAAAAUAUCUCUAAAAGUGAAGAUAUUCCUCUGGUUUUUAAGCGGAUGGAUCAUCUUAACUGGAGAUAACCUGACACAACGUAAAUGGCAAGGUAGUAAGCAUUGUGUCUUUUGUCAACACAAUGAGUCUAUUAAACACUUAUUUUCUGAGUGUAAGUUCGCUCGUGCAGUAUGGGCCAUAGUUUAA